AGUUGUAAGCACUUGCUAAUGUCGCAUAUGGCCGAGAGGUGAAAGAUUUAUUCGCUACAAGAUGAGCCCAUGCAGGAUUAGCUAGUUGGUGAGGUAAUGGCUCACCAAGGCAACGAUCUUUAGUUGGUCUGAGAGGAUGAUCAGCCACACUGGAACUGAGACACGGUCCAGACUCCUACGGGAGGCAGCAGUGGGGAAUAUUGGACAAUGGGCGCAAGCCUGAUCCAGCGACGCCGCGUGAGUGAUGAAGGCCUUAGGGUUGUAAAGCUCUUUUAGUGGGGAAGAUAAUGACGGUACCCACAGAAAAAGCCCCGGCUAACUUCGUGC
rnacentral:rRNA from 1 species